CAGUAGCGUAUAUUAAAGUUGUUGCAGUUAAAAAGCUCGUAGUUGGAUGUCUGGCGCGAGGCGUCUGGCCCGCCGACGUUAGUCGUGUGAGUGCCGGCUCGCCUCCGCCAUCCUUCUGGAAAACGGGUCUACCCUUUACUGGGCCGGGCUCGCGAUCCAGAUCCUUUACUUUGAAAAAAUUAGAGUGUUCAAAGCAGGCUUGCGCUAUGAAUACAUUAGCAUGGAAUAAUAAUAUAGGACUUGGGUUCUAUUUUGUUGGUUUCUAGGACUUAAGUAAUGAUUGAUAGGGAUAGUUGGGGGUGCUAGUAUUCAGCGGCCAGAGGUGAAAUUCUUGGAUUCGCUGAAGACUAACUUAUGCGAAAGCAUUCACCAAGGAUGUCUUCUUUAA
rnacentral:rRNA from 1 species